rnacentral:rRNA from 1 species
UACAGAGGGUGCAAGCGUUGUUCGGAAUUAUUGGGCGUAAAGGGAGUGUAGGCGGUUCGUUAAGUCUUCUGUGAAAUCUACGGGCUUAGCCUGUAACGUGCAGAGGAAACUAGCGGGCUUGAGUGUCGGAGAGGAUAGGGGAAUACCCAGUGUAGAGGUGAAAUUCGUAGAGAUUGGGUGGAACACCAGUGGCGAAGGCGGCUCUCUGGGCCUUACCUGACGCUGAGGAGCGAAAGCGUGGGUAGCGAACAGG